rnacentral:rRNA from 1 species
UACGUAGGGGGCGAGCGUUGUCCGGAUUUAUUGGGCGUAAAGAGCUCGUAGGCGGUUUGGCAAGUCGGGUGUGAAAACUCCGGGCUCAACUCGGAGACGCCACUCGAUACUGCUAUGACUUGAGUCCGGUAGGGGAGUGCGGAAUUCCUGGUGUAGCGGUGGAAUGCGCAGAUAUCAGGAGGAACACCGGUGGCGAAGGCGGGAUCCUGGGCCAGUACUGACGCUGAGGCGCGAAAGCGUGGGGAGCAAACAGG